GACGAACGCUGGCGGCGUGCUUAACACAUGCAAGUCGAACGCUGAAGCUCAGCUUUUGUUGGGUGGAUGAGUGGCGAACGGGUGAGUAACACGUGAGUAACCUGCCUCCUUCUUUGGGAUAACGCCCGGAAACGGGUGCUAAUACUGGAUAUUCACUGGUCUUCGCAUGGGGGUUGGUGGAAAGGGUUUUUCUGGUGGGGGAUGGGCUCGCGGCCUAUCAGCUUGUUGGUGGGGUGAUGGCCUACCAAGGCUUUGACGGGUAGCCGGCCUGAGAGGGUGACCGGUCAGAUUGGGCGUGAGAUACGGCCCAGACUCGUACGGGAGGCAGCAGUGGGGAAUAUUGCACAAUGGGCGCAAGCCUGAUGCAGCGACGCGGCGUGAGGGAUGGGGGCCUUCGGGUUGUGAACCUCUUUCGCUCAUGGUCAAGCCGCAACAAUGGUUGUGGUGAGGGUAGUGGGUAAAGAAGCGCCGGCUAACUACGUG
rnacentral:rRNA from 1 species